CUUCUCAGUGGCAGUGGCAA
rnacentral:snRNA from 1 species